rnacentral:rRNA from 1 species
GACGAACGCUGGCGGCGUGCUUAACACAUGCAAGUCGAACGGUGACGCGCCUUCCUUUUUGGUGGGUGUGGAUGAGUGGCGCACGGGUGAGUAACACGUGAGUAACCUGCCCCCUUCUUCUGGAUAACCGCAUGAAAGUGUGGCUAAUACGGGAUAUUCUGGGUCUGUCGCAUGAUGGGUCUGGGACAGCUAUUGUUUCGGUGGGGGGUGGGCUCGCGGACUAUCAGCUUGUUGGGGGGGUGAUGGCCUCCCAAGGCGGUGACGAGUAGCCGGCCUGGGAGGGUGGACGGUCACACGGGGACGGAGAGACGGCGAAGACUCCGACGGGAGGCAGCGGGGGGGAAUAGAGCACAGUGGGCGCAAGGAUGAUGCAGCGACGCGGCGGGAGAGAUGGAGGCCGGCGGGUUGUGAACCCCUGUCGCGAGUGAAGCAGGCCUGCCUCGUUUGUGGGUGGGUUGACGGUAGCGGGAGAAGAAGCGCCGGCUAACUACGUG